GACGAACGCUGGCGGCGUGCCUAAUACAUGCAAGUCGAGCGCAGGAAACUGACGGAACUCUUCGGAGGGAAGGCAGUGGAAUGAGCGGCGGACGGGUGAGUAACACGUAAGGAACCUGCCUCAAGGAUUGGGAUAACUCCGAGAAAUCGGAGCUAAUACCGGAUAGUUCAACGGACCGCAUGGUCCGCUGAUGAAAGGCGCUCCGGCGUCACCUUGAGAUGGCCUUGCGGUGCAUUAGCUAGUUGGUGGGGUAACGGCUCACCAAGGCGACGGUGUAUAGCCGACCUGAGAGGGUGAUCGGCCACACUGGGACUGAGACACGGCCCAGACUCCUACGGGAGGCAGCAGUAGGGAAUCUUCCACAAUGGACGAAAGUCUGAUGGAGCAACGCCGCGUGAGUGAUGAAGGUUUUCGGAUCGUAAAACUCUGUUGUAAGGGAAGAACACGUACGAGAGGGAAUGCUCGUACCUUGACGGUACCUUACGAGAAAGCCACGGCUAACUGCGUGCCAGCAGCCGCCGUAACAC
rnacentral:rRNA from 1 species